AGACUGGAUUUUUGCCUGACUACGGUGCUCAGCCUUCUAGACAAUAGUUAUGCUAAGGGAUUAUCUUUUAACAUUGUGCAGUUAUCUCCUUUGUUUGUUUUCUUUUUUCAUUAUUCACAUAAGCCAAGGGAAAUGAAAAGCAUCUUAUUUCAGGCAAAAAGGCCUGUGAAUGAUUAACUCUGGUUCCAUGCGUUGGGACUUUGCAUAGCAACCCCGUGGCUUGCAACGACAAAAAAGCUCAAGGCAGGAACAGCAGCCCAGGGACCUGAGACCAGCGUUCUCAAAUGAAGCCAGAUCUGCUGUUAGAGGAGAAUUCUUCUGUCCUAGCUGUGUCUCUGUGAUCUGUGGAUGAGGGUGGGAAAGCACCACUCAGUCAAUUGGGGUGUACAAAAUGGAGUUUGAGAAGGUCUCACAUCCAGGUUGUUUUGAAGCAAAGUCCAAGCAUUGUAUCACUUCAUCUGCAAAUAUUUCAAUAAGUACCCAAAAGUGGUUGGACUGAGUCCCAUGAAGCCAGAUCACUUCUGACUGCAAGGAGCUUGGAAAAGCAAGUAUCUGGAUCUUUUACCAGCUAAAUUUGGAGAAUUAUUGAUCAAAUUUGGAUCUCUGUGUGCUGUCCUCCAAUUUAAUACUUUCUGUGUUGCUGUUUUAUUUUCUUUCUUCUGGAACCUGGCAAAGUGCGUCAAGCGAUGAGGCUUCCUCUUUGAAGAUCACAGGUGAGAAGAUUAGGUGCUUUCUCAGAAGCCCAGCAACCUGAUGGGAGUGUGGAGUGAGCAAGACCCAAAUCGGAGCUUCAUCCCUGCAUGGUUCAUUUUGCUUAUUUGGCAAACUUGCCCUGCAGGUGAAAACAUUGGAAUCU
rnacentral:lncRNA from 10 species